rnacentral:lncRNA from 1 species
CGGGAAGAACAAAGGAAGGGGGGCCCGGGACCCCCCGGGGGCGCAGGUGGGUGUGGGGGGCGGCGUGCCGGGCGCGGGGCGGGCGGGGGCGCGCGCCGAUUCAGGCGCCGGCGGGAGGCGUGCGGCCGCGCGGGGCUUGGUGCGCCAGUGUCUACGUCCGUGUGCGCACUCGUGCGGCGCCGUGGCGCUGGCCGGGCCGCUGCUGGCCGGGUCUUGCGCCGAAGCCCGCCACCACCCCCCCGGGGGCACGGGAAGCCGGGGGGCAAGGAGAGGCCGUUCCAGCGAGGCUGGCCGCGCCGCGCGCACACGCACACGCCGCCGCCGCCGCGCCGCCGCGGGGCUCGGCCGCUCGGCGGCCGUGCGGGGGGCGGGCCGAGGGCGGCCGGCGCGGCUGGGGCCGAGGGCGCGCCGCUGCCCGGCGCUGGGCACCGGCCUGCAGCCGCUGAGGGGGACGGCACGCAGUUCGCCACCUCAGGGGCACUGGCGUGGGUCCUUCGCCGUCCGGCGGCGACUGUAAAUAGAGCCUGGAUGUUGUUUACAUGAAGGAUCCGGCGGGAGGAGUCUGCGAGGAGGCGGCGGCGGCGGCGGCGGAGGAGGAGGAGGGAGGGCGGAGAGAGGAAGACCGGAGUCCCCGCGGCGGCGGCGGUGGUCCGGGGUGAGGGUGAGCCCCGCGCGGCGCGGGGACCGGGCGCUACCACGAGGCCGUGAAGCCGGACCCUGGGGUAGGAGGGAGAAGGGGCGCGGGGCGGGAAGAGGGGGCCUGUAAGAGUGGCAUUUUGAGCUUACAACCUGCCACGCAGAUUCUCCGGGGCGAGAGGGGAGGGGUGUGCGGGGAGGGCAGGGAAGCCUCGAUUUCUCUGCACGUUCAUUCUCCCAGCUCCAGUCUUUUCCCGCUUCCUCUCGGGGCUCACCUGUUUAUUUCCAUUAGCCAGAGCUUGCGGUCUUUUUUUAAUGUAGGCAUGAGAGGCUAUUUCUUUUAUUAGAAACACUAUUGGGGAAGGGGGUGCGUGGCUGUAAUUUAUGCCGGUUCCGGUCGGUUUUCAAGAAGGGGGAGGGGACUUGGCGGAGACCGCCGGCUCCCGGCGGUAGCUGGCCCCAGGGCUUCUCCCUGCCCGCACGGGCUGGGGAAUCUUUUCCCUCACUCAGCUACCCGCAGGCCAGCUGCCACCUUCUUGGAGAAGAACCACACCUGUGCUUAUUGCUCGCUUUGGAGGAGAGGUGAGCUGAGAAGCCGGGGAAUCUUCUGUUCCUCAGAACUCUUAGCUAACCCUCCCAUCCCAGAAUUGGCCAGAAAGUGCCGUUUUCACCUGCUAAUUGCACUGGGCACAUCCAUACCCCCACCCCAUCAAGUUGUGGUCCACAGAUGUGUUGGGAUUUUUCUCUUGCUUCUGAACCUGCACCCCACCAACCAGCAACUGACUGCUGGUUUUAGAUUGAGAGAAAGGUAACCAGCUUCGGCUUAGUACGCGUUCUUUAUUCCCCACUGGAUCUUCCAAAGGAAUCUUCUCUCUCCCCGCAGACCCCUUCCAAGAGCUUAGCCCAGAAUCUGGCCUAAGCAGCCAGUCUCUGGCUCUCUUUUCCUGGGCCCCACCCUGGCCCCUCUUGGUUCUCCACAGCCAGACGCGCCUCCCAAGCAGAAGGCACACCCUGCCCUAAAUCUAACCAUUCCAAAACGGAGAAGAAAACAGUGGAAGAGAAGGGACCCAGGGGUGUUCUUUCUGCCCUCAGUAUCCCCAGCAGCAUUUCCGUCUUCAGUUCUCCUGGAUUUAUAAUCCUUUAUUAUUCUUGUCAGCUGCUGCUACCUCUUUGCCCCUAUUCCUGUGAUGGAUCUUUGGGGAGGUGCAGAUAGGAGAGUGGAGAAAGGUUGUCACCCCUUUUCCCUAGUGUGAGGAAUUUUCCUUGUCUUUUCAUUUUUGAGAUACUUAAGAAGUAAAAUAUGUAAAUAUGUUUGCAUGCUUAUUUGAACUUAUUUUCCUGCUGGCUAAUGAAUAGCUGGGACUUAAAACGGUGGGAGGGGAGUGAUGUGAAGUGCACAUUCCCCCUGGUGUCCCCCAUAUGAGCAUCCCCAUAGUUGCUGGAGAAGACCCUUCUGGGAAUGCCAACAGUCUCCCUUCUAUGACAUCACCACCUAAGCCCUUCCAACUUUAGCUUCAGAACAGGAAGAAGGCUCAAAAUAGAACUACCUUAGGAAUUCAGCUCCUUUUAGAAGAUCAACUGUUAAAUCAGCCAUAGGAGGAACCGUGAACUUUGACAUGGGGAGAGAAAGCUGUAGUGUUUGAAAUCAGUUCCUUUGGGGGUGGGUAGGGGGAUACUUUCCGUGUAUAUUCAGAAAAGCUUUUCUCAAGAUAAGGUGAGUUGGGUACCUAGACCAAUGAAUGAUUAAUAGGAUGGUUUGAGAUUCAUUUAUUGAAUUAUUCAUAUGUUUUGGUAUGUCAAUAACAAGCACUUUUCAGGAUGAAUUAAAGGCGUGUUCCUAGAGUGUGUUCUGGAGAAUUUGCUAGAGAUAGAGAAGGCUCUUGGGGGGAGCUAGGAGGGAGGACCUGAAGGCGAGGACUCUGAGGAUGCAGUGACAGCUGCUGUGAGUUUGAAAUUGAGAGGCUUACUGUAAACAAUGACUAACUUUUGCCGGGUGAUUAAUAUCCUGGACAAAGAAGUAAUGAUAUCAGGAUUUCCUUACCUUUACAUCAAAGAAUAACUCUGAAUCUUUGAAUCAUGGUGUCUCCCUUUUUUUUCACCCUGAAUUCUCUGAGCCGAAAGAUUGUUCAGCCUUUAGGAAGAGCUGCUUAGUAAGUGAUCAUCACUUAAGUACUAACAACUGAAGGAUCAGAUGUAGGGAGAAAAUACUUGGCAUAAUUUGAGUGCCUAGUGGGUGCUGUAGAAUGACUUGCUGGGUGAAGAGUUCCAAUUUAAAAGAAUCCAGAUGAUAGAGACAGGGCUCUCUGUACCUGCGUUAAUACUGUAGCCAUUAGCCACGUGUAGCUGUGAAGCACCUGAAAUCUGGCUAGGGUGAUGAUGAACAGGUUGUAAAUUUUUACUUAAUUUAAAAAGUUGAUGUUCGACUCAGGUUAUUGGAAA